ensembl:lncRNA
UGCCGCCCCUGGUGCAGGGCCCCCAGCGUGGCCCCCCCAGGGGAUGCACAGUCAGCAGGCAGAUUUUAUGUUUCUUUUCUCUUUUUCCUGGGUAAAGCACAAGCCCAUUGUUAAUGAUGUAAUUGGUGUAUUUGACUGGUUUUCAUAUUAUCUUGUACAUUUAGUUUUUUACCUUGUAAAUUCUCUGUAGAAAAAGAAAAAAACGUAUACACGUCGCUGAAAUUUCCAAUUCCUACAAUUAACACCAGCAAGUGAUUUUCUAAGGCUAAACAGAGUGAUCCUUUUAAAAAAAAAAAAAGCAAAACCAAGUCCUCUUGUUUUUGUAAUCAGACUUUUGUCAGCUGUUCUCAUUGAGUCUAGGCAAUUGAAUACUCUAUUUGUACAUUACCCUGUGAACAGUAAAGGUUUUCCCCACGCCAAAGCAGCUGAAGGAUUAGUUGUUGUUGUUUUUUUUUUGGGUUUUUUUUCAAUGCACCACAUGGAAUGGGCUGAUGUAGACCCCUGCGGUCGCAGGCGAGCACCAUGCGUCCUGUGCCAGUCACCCACAGGUCUUCGAGACCAGUUAGCGAGCUCCGCUUGGGGGUCGGUGCUUUCAGUCCAGGUGGUGUUUUCCAGCGGUGGCUUAUUCCUCUUCAGGCUAACAGUCGGCCCGGUGGAAUCUUCUAAACACUUUUUACUUUUUUUUUUUUUUUUUCCUGGUACUAAAUAUUACAGACUGACCAACCUCAGCUGCUGCAUCAACUGAACCCCCGAUUGAGCCGCCUGUCCCUCAUCAGAGAUCACCUGGGGGAGGAGGGGUAUGCAAAACAAAUGCUGCCAUUAACUUGUAGACUCAGCGCAUGAGAUUUGGUUGCAGCCGUAUAAUCCGAACAUGAAAUGACCAGUGGGGUGGGGGUUGUGGGACUGGGAUAUGUGUUGGCAUGCUGUGACAGGUUUUAAUCCUUAAUGAUUUUUUUUUUUUUUCUCCUUUAUCAUAUUUAGUGUGACAUCUUAUCUGUCUUGUACUUUGAGAUGAACACUGCCCUAGAAACGGUAUCUUUAUGUACUGAAUAAUCAUCUCUUGCGUAGAAGUAGUUGAACGAUGUAUAGCAUCUUUAUGUAUGUGUGAGUUGUUGCUUUUGGGCUGGGGGCUCGCAGCGACGAUGGGACCCCCACCGCUUGACGGUCAGAGUAGUCAUUAAAAAAAAAAAUGUUGUGAAGUGGUGCUUUUCCCAGUUCUGUCUAUCUGAGGUGAAUUGAACUAGUUUAGUGGGAUAAGUUGGAGAAAGGGAUGUUGAAAAGACCCUGUGCCCCCUUUUUUUUUUUUUUUUUUUUUUUUUUUAUUGGCUCUUUUUUUUUUGGUUGAUAUGGAAGUGCAUUGGUGGGGGGCCGUCGGGGCCAUCAAAAGCGAUACAAUUCACCUGUAAUGCUCGUAGUGAUGGCUUCAUAUGAAUACUUGUAGAAUACAUGUAGUAUAUGUGCAGUUAUUAAGUGUAAAAUUAUUAGUUUAAAUUGAGAAGAAUAUGUCUAGUUGUGGUGUUUUGACAGGCCUUGCUCUAAAUUUGUAGUGAUGCUUUUAUUUCGUCUGUACAGUUGUACAUUUUGUAAACGUUUAUGCUGUAAAUGGGAUGUCUUUUACACUUUUUGGGGAGAAAAAGGCAAAAAUGUGCAUUUUGAUGUGUGUAUAUUCAUCACUCCUUUCCCCUUGAAUAUAAUGUAUACAGUUUUAUUUGAUUUAAGUGUUAUUUUAAAGGAAAAAAAAUCUUAAUGGCUUCACAAUCUGGCAUGUUUUUUUGUUUUUAAUCUGUAAUGGGAAAGGCCAGCCUCUAUUUCUACUGGAGCUGUAUAAUCCACUGUUGAUAGUAUUUCUGAAGUGACAGUUUAAAAAAACUCUGUACUAAAAUUGAGGCUGCAUUUAGUCCUCUCUGAUACAUGGAAAUUUCACAGGACUUGACAAGAAUUAUUUUUGUACAGAUGAGUGCUGUAUUUUGGAACAGCGUCUACCUUGUAAGCAAAAGCAAUGUAACAUAUUGUCAAUUAUAUAAAUAUAAACAUAUGAGUUUUGUCACACUGUCAAAGUCAUGUACAUUUUCAGGUGGCCUUAUGUACAUUUCCAGAUGUUAGAUUAAGAAAAUCAAACUCAUUUUUGGAAGCAGAAUUGUGACUAUGAUUAAACUGUUCUUCUAACAUUUGACCAGCCUUGUUGUGUUUUUUGUUUUUUUUCCUCCUGUUCUUUUUAAAGAUAUUCAGCCUAAUUUGUAUUAUCUGUAUGAGCUGCUACUAUAACUGUGUCAGAUAUGGAAUACAUAGAUAUAUUGUUUUAUAGUUGCAUUCCAACUUCAAUGCAAAACAAAUAUCUGAAAGUAUUUAAGUGAUUUGCUCCACCUUGACUAGCCCCAAUAUUAUAAUGCCAUAACGUUAAUGCAUCAAUAAUACAUUCCAUAAUUGAGAAAAUAAAAGCAAAAAAUGUGCCUGUUUCCACAUGCGCGUCUAUCGCAGAUGUGGGCGGGGUCUGUCGCAGAUGUGGGCGUGGUCCGGGCACAGAGGUGGAGGCUCGCUUCAAACCCUUAAACAGCUCCUGAGCUCCUGUUGAUCAGGACCAAAUAAACUGAACUCCGACUCACCAGAAGAAUGACAACGUCUUUGACCGUGUCUCUUAUUUUAGCUUUGGGAUUAAUACAUCCCAUCUGUAUGUCGCUUUCUGGCCAGCCUGAGGACUUAGAGGGGUCAGGAUAUGAAUUCAGCGGUUCUGGUUCAGGGGGUUCGCCAGACCAAGGUGAAAUUGAAAAUAUCAAUCAUCAACCCAACAGCAAAGGAGCCAAGAAUACUUGGAUUGUAUCCAUACAUGAAGAUGCACACAAAGACGGCGGAUCAGGAUUUGUCAUUGUGGCAAACAGCAAGAGUCCCUUAGAAAACAAAGAAAUCGUCACCGCUGUUGUCACGGGAGGAGUUAUAGGAGUGGCCGCUGCAGUUUUACUGGGAGCAGUGUUAAUCUACAUGUGGAAGAAAAAAGAUACCAGAGGAUACAUUCCGGGUCAACAACGGGCCUCAGAUGCAGUUUAUCAUGGACCCAACAGGGAGGUAGUUGUUGUUUAACCUUAAACUUGCACAGCAUGGUUUACGCUCUGAGGCCAAUGUCUGUAACUACUGCAAAGGGGGUAUUUGCUUGUUUUCUGGAGUGAAGGAUGGGAAAUGACAGUUACACUUGCACUUAAGGAAAUGUAGCUGUAGUUUUUUAUUUGAUAGUAUUUAUAAUUAUUAUGAAAUAUAAGAGCUCUUUAUUUACUAAUAAUCUUUAUUUAUUACUAACACAAAACAAUCAAAUGGGUAAAACCAGAUAAAAAUAAUAUAAAUAAAUCGAAUCAAAUGUGUUGCAUGUAAAAAUGACAAGAUUAAGCCACACAGCAAACGUUAGUCUUCAGAAGAUUGGUUGCUGUGACUUUGAAUUGCAGUUGUAUGAAUUGUACAGAAAAUAUUUAAGAGACCCUUUUUAUGGAAAGGAUUUUGGUGUCACAGUAUGAAAAUAGGUCUGCCAUUAAAUGUCAUUAUGGCAGCGCUGGACUUCACAAACUGUUACAACACAAGUUUGAGACUUCAGUCUUGUGUUCUUAACUAUUAAUCAAACUUUCCUAGACCAUAAAAAUAUUAUAUUGGAAUAAGUUAAUUUAGGUGAUGUUCCCCUAUUAGUAACAGUUUUUCUAAAACCAUGUCUACACGCCUUGUUUUACUAAAUAAAUAAUCCAUGUGAUGUGACAUAUGAAUGAAGAAUUUAAGGGGAAACUCAUGCGAGGGGUUUCCAAUGGAUGCAAUGAUGAUCCGCUGCUGAAAUAUAUGAUUAUAUUUAUGAUUUGAUUAUCGGGCAACGUACAACUUGGGCUAAUUGAUCACUGCAAUGUAGGUGUGGAUGUGAGCGUGGCUGGUUGUCUAACUCUAUGUGUAACGGCUAAUGGAUGGAUGAAUGUAUGCCAAGAAAUUCCAUGCACUCUGUUUAUAUUACAUGAUUGUUGAUACAUUUGCCGUACAACUUUUAACCCUUGCAUAUCAUAAUGAAAGGCUCUUGUGUACAUACCUUUGCACCUUGUGUGUUACACAAUAUAUAUAUAUAUAUAUAUAUAUAUAUAUAUAUAUAUAUAUAGCUAAUUUGAGUAUCGAUGAGUGAUUUUAUGUGGAAAUAGGUACUAUGUAUAAUCAGAACUGACAUAGAAUUAUCUGGGCAAUAGGGCAAUAAUAAUCUGUGGGCCCCUACUAAACCAGCAUCUGAUUCUCCUAUCAUCUUGCAUUUUGUGCAUUUUGUAUAUUUGUAUUAAUUCAUGGUAUUUUGAUUAAAUAAAUGGUCCAUGUAACAUGGUUUUGCCUCUUGGCCCAGUCCAUAAUAUGGGAUUAUUAAACUGAUUGAUGAUGUAUGUGGC